AUCCCCCUUUAAUCCCCCAUCCCCCCAUUCAACCCAACUUCAGCCCCCGCGCUGCGCCCCCCUUCCCUGGCCCGGCUCGAUUGGCCGCUUCCUGAGCUGUCAGACUUGAGUCCGGCGCUCUUAUUGGGCGAUUCUCGGGCCGGGCGGCUGUGCCAAAGGAGGGCGCACCGGGCCGGGGGCGCCCAGGCAGCGACUGCCGCAGGGAGCCGAAGACCAGAGUCCCUGGAGGGCCAGAGGGGCCCAAGAGCCAGACCCGGAAAUGGACGGGAGAGAUGGAGAGACUGAGGAUCUCUGAGGCCCAGGAAGACAGUUACGGGAAAGAUGGAGAUGCAGUUGGUGAGGCCGAUGCAACCAGGGCUGGGCGGACAGGAAUGCUUUGGUGGAUAGUUACAGAGCAAGAACCCCGCAGACAGCAUUACGAACACCUGGCGUUUGUGAAGAGCUCUCUCUGCUCGUUCUCCUGCUGGAAGUUCCCGCAGCCUAAACUCUGGACAGAUGGGGAACAAUCACCUCUAAUCCCAGGAGGGAGAAACAAGCUUCACUUUCUUCCUUCAGCUCUCCCUGUGGAGGUUCUGACAAAGAGACUAGAGGCCUGGAAAACUUGUGCUGGACACAGUUGA
rnacentral:lncRNA from 1 species